rnacentral:rRNA from 1 species
AACGUAGGAGACGAACGUUAUCCGGAUUUACUGGGCGUAAAGGGCGUGCAGGCGGUCUGAUAAGUUCGGCGUGAAAUAUUCCGGCUUAACCGGGAUAGGUCGUCGGAGACUGUCGGACUAGAGGGUGAUAGAGGCGUGUGGAAUUCCGGGUGUAGUGGUGAAAUGCGUAGAGAUCCGGAGGAACACCAGUGGCGAAGGCGACACGCUGGGUCACACCUGACGCUAAAGCGCGACAGCAUGGGGAGCGAACGGG